CUGUUCCACCCAGACUUCCCCUCGUGUGCCUACAAAAACACACUGUUUUGGGCCAACUUUCCAUCGUCACAUUUGCAGCCAUCUGAAAGCCAGAGCCAGGCUUUGGUGCCGGAAAUAUAGCAGAUCUUCUAAAUGGAGGAGAAACUUCCCUUCUCAGCCUUCCCAGCUUCUGAGGGUGCUAAGCACCGUGAGGUCAUCCCUGGAGGAUAAGCUUCUUGUAACAAGGUUUUCUCUCCCUAAGUCUGGAGUAAAUAGGGAGACCUUCUUCCAAAGGUGGCACUGCUGGCUAUUCAAAUGAAUACAGAGAGCUGACUGUGAACGGUCAUGUUCACAAACACAUUUUCCUUUACUGGCAGAGCAUCUGAAAACAUACCUGCGAUUACCUUGGAUUUGGUCAUGAUGAAAAGACAGUGAAAGUUUAUUCUCAAGUUGCACUUCUUCCUUUCUGUUUUUGGAAGCAAAAUGACCGACGUGCAGCUUUGCCAUGGUUGAUGAUGUGACUUUGGCUCACAGCCCAGAAGAAUGUCACUGCCCGACAGGAUGAGGAGGAGAGAACCAAAAUCUAGUGCUGGAGAAUUGUAAAGCCGUGUAACAUUUUUUCAGCUGCUUUUGAAACCUGGUGGCAUGAAUGUGAACAUGAGAAGUGUACCAAUAGACCUCUUAUUUUUAAAUCGGCUCUUGAACCACAACCAGUAUAUUUCCAGUGCUGACAUUCUCUCUCCAAGUAUCAGUAAGUUUUGGCAACUUCUCUAGAGCACAAGGAACCAGGAUCUCUGCAAUCCAGGCAUCUUCUGCAGAGCCUUCUUCCCUUUCCUCUGACUUUGGCUACUCCCUUGGCACAACAUCAUGGCUGUCCCACUGCUGAAAGCAAUGCCCACUGCAGGGCUAUGUCAAGCCUGGAAAGAGUCUUAGGUAGACAUCUAACAAUGCUGUUACCCGUUUCGCCAUAACUCUUGGUGAUGGUCUGUGUUUCUAAAAUGUGAGACAAAGACCCAGGUGGAAAGGAGCAUGAGGGGCCUGAGCUAGUGGUUGCAUCAGCAUCACAGGAGAGCAGAGCAAAGGCAAUCUGAACCCAGGAUGUAAGUGUGGGAAUGGUGUAUGGGCAUCAAGUAGAAAGGCUGCUGGAGAAGAGUCCUACAGCAGGACAGUAACCAGAAAGAUGCACACAGAUCUGCAUAUUAGAAACCCCUGUCCAGUUUUGAUCGUACAACAUGGAGAAGGAAGCAACCUACUUUUAUCACUGUGUAUCCUUGUUCUCAAGCACUUGGAACUCUUUGGAGUUGAGCUGAAUGCUGCUCAUUUCUGGAUGUGUGCUGAGCUUUGAUCUCAGCAAAGCUGUGCGUGUGGCCAGAAUAACAUCACCAAAACACCAGAGCUCGCACUGUCGUGCUGGAGCACCCUCAUCCCAGACAGGUGCUUCUGCUCUGCCUUGUUUGUUUUUUGUCUGCGGAGAAGGAAACCAGAUGUGGCGUGCACGGUGCAGGAGAUUGAAGGAGAUGCCCAGGGCUCUGCAGAGCAGAGAGGUCUUCCUCUGCAGAAGUCCUCCGGCAGCAAGUGGCUGCGGGAAGGACACAGGCGAGGGAACGGCCCGGACCUGUCGCGGGAGGAUCGUCACCCCGUUUGCACUCACUUCUUGGCUGCCCUGCAUUUUGGAGCAGCUGACUCAAGAGGGCAGCAAGCCGACGGGCUGCCACCGGCUUCAGCGGCCAGCCCUGCCCCGCCGGAUCCCACCGACGGCCUCCGCGCCCGGGAGGGCUGCGUGUCGGAGGAAUUCGCCGGGAUGACGCGUGCUCCUGAUCGAAGGACACGGGAGGACCCGGGGGUGCUCUGCUGCCCUCUCCCCACGCCCCCCGGCUCCUGGCUGGGGAGGCAAGGUUGCCUCAAUGCUGCUGGGUGAAAUCUGGUCUCACCUCUGCAGGUGACACGAGCCUGGAGCCUGUCCCACCCUGAAACUUCCGUGGUUGCCAGCAUGACCACGAAAUGGAGGUGAAAUCUCUCCCUCCUGCUGUCACUGUGGUUACGGCUGCCUCCCUCGUGCCUCCAAAGGGGAGCCAAGGAAGUUUCUGGGCACUGAGAACACAAAGUACGUGCAACACACAAAGGGCUUUAGACCCUGACG
ensembl:lncRNA